GUCCACGCCGUAAACGAUGGGUACUAGGCGUCGGGGGGAGCGACCCUCUCGGUGCCGUCGCUAACGCAAUAAGUACCCCGCCCUGGGGAGUACGGUCGCAAGACUGAAACUCAAAGGAAUUGACGGGGGCCCGCACAAGCGGUGGAGCAUGUGGUUUAAUUCGAAGCAACGCGAAGAACCUUACCUGGGCUUGACAUGCACGGGAAAGCUGGUGGAAACAUCGGCCCCUCUUCGGAGUACGUGCACAGGUGCUGCAUGGCUGUCGU
rnacentral:rRNA from 1 species